rnacentral:rRNA from 1 species
UACGGGGGGGGCAAGCGUUGUUCGGAAUUACUGGGCGUAAAGGGCUCGUAGGCGGCCAACUAAGUCGGAUGUGAAAUCCCCAAGCUUAACUUGGGAACUGCAUCCGAUACUGGAUGGCUUGAAUCCGGGAGAGGGAUGCAGAAUUCCAGGUGUAGCGGUGAAAUGCGUAGAUAUCUGGAGGAACACCGGUGGCGAAGGCGGCAUCCUGGACCAACACUGACACUGAGGAGCGAAAGCCAGGGGAGCAAACGGG